rnacentral:tRNA from 1 species
AAGAAAGUACAGAACCCUGGUUAGUACUGCUAAUGCUUACCCCCGCGGUUAAACUCCGCGGCUUUCUCG